rnacentral:lncRNA from 1 species
GUAUAAACAGUAUAAUGUGUGGUAUACCCAGGGUAUCAACAGUAUAAUGUGUGGUAUACUCAGGGUAUCAACAGUAUAAUGUUUGGUAUACUCAGGGUAUCAACAGUAUAAUGUUUGGUAUACUCAGGGUAUAAACAGUAUAAUGUGUGGUAUACUCAGGGUAGACUAGAGUAUAAUGUGUGGUAUACUCAGGGUAUAAAGAGUAUAAUGUUUGGUAUACUCAGGGUAUAAACAGUAUAAUGUGUGGUAUACCCAGGGUAUAAACAGUAUAAUGUGUGGUAUACUCAGGGUAUAAACAGUAUAAUGUUUGGUAUACUCAGGGUAUAAACAGUAUAAUGUUUGGUAUACUCAGGGUAUAAACAGUAUAAUGUGUGGUAUACUCAGGGUAUCAACAGUAUAAUGUGUGGUAU